GUAGGUGGCAAGCGUUAUCCGGAAUUAUUGGGCGUAAAGCGCGCGCAGGCGGUUUCUUAAGUCUGAUGUGAAAGCCCACGGCUCAACCGUGGAGGGUCAUUGGAAACUGGGGAACUUGAGUGCAGAGGAGAAAAGCGGAAUUCCACGUGUAGCGGUGAAAUGCGUAGAGAUGUGGAGGAACACCAGUGGCGAAGGCGGCUUUUUGGUCUGUAACUGACGCUGAGGCGCGAAAGCGUGGGGAGCAAACAGGGAUUAGAUACCCUGGUAGUCCACGCCGUAAACGAUGAGUGCUAAGUGUUAGAGGGUUUCCGCCCCUUUAGUGCUGCAGCUAACGCAUUAAGCACUCCGCCUGGGAGUACGGUCGCAAGACUG
rnacentral:rRNA from 1 species